UACGGAGGGGGCAAGCGUUAUUCGGAAUCAUUGGGCGUAAAGGGCGCGUAGGCGGCUUGGCAAGUCGAAGGUGAAAUCCCCCGGCUCAACUGGGGAACUGCCUUCGAAACUGCCAGGCUAGAGUCCGGGAGAGGGUAGUGGAAUUCCCAGUGUAGCGGUGAAAUGCGUAGAUACUGGGAGGAACACCAGUGGCGAAGGCGGCUACCUGGACCGGUACUGCCGCUGAGGCGCGAAAGCGCGGGGAGCAAACAGG
rnacentral:rRNA from 1 species